GGUCAAGCGAAUAAGCGCACACGGUGGAUGCCUAGGCGGUCAGAGGCGAUGAAGGACGUGGUAGCCUGCGAAAAGUGUCGGGGAGCUGGCAACAAGCUUUGAUCCGGCAAUAUCCGAAUGGGGAAACCCACUGCUUCGGCAGUAUCUUGCAGUGAAUUCAUAGCUGCUUGAAGCGAACCCGGUGAACUGAAAUAUCUAAGUAACCGGAGGAAAAGAAAUCAACCGAGAUUCCCUGAGUAGUGACGAGCGAACGGGGAACAGCCCUUAAGCUGGAAUGGCUUUAGAAAAACAAUCUGGAAAGAUUGGCCAUAGAAGGUGAUAGCCCUGUAUUUAAAAGGGCCACUCCAGUGAAGACGAGUAGGGCGGGGCACGUGAAACCCUGUCUGAAUAUGGGGGGACCAUCCUCCAAGGCUAAAUACUCCUGACCGACCGAUAGUGAACCAGUACCGUGAGGGAAAGGCGAAAAGAACCCCGGAGAGGGGAGUGAAAUAGAUCCUGAAACCGUGUGCGUACAAGCAGUAGGAGCUCGCAAGAGUGACUGCGUACCUUUUGUAUAAUGGGUCAGCGACUUACUGUUCGUGGCAAGCUUAACCGUAUAGGGGAGGCGAAGGGAAACCGAGUCUGAUAAGGGCGCAUAGUCGCGGGCAGUAGACCCGAAACCGGGUGAUCUAGUCAUGGCCAGGGUGAAGGUGCCGUAACAGGUACUGGAGGCCCGAACCCACGUCUGUUGCAAAAGACGGGGAUGAGCUGUGAUUAGGAGUGAAAAGCUAAUCGAACCCGGAGAUAGCUGGUUCUCCUCGAAAGCUAUUUAGGUAGCGCCUCGGACGAAUACUACUGGGGGUAGAGCACUGUUAUGGCUAGGGGGUCAUCGCGACUUACCAAACCAUUGCAAACUCCGAAUACCAGUACGUACUAUCCGGGAGACACACGGCGGGUGCUAACGUCCGUCGUGAAAAGGGAAACAACCCAGACCCACAGCUAAGGUCCCAAAUUCACUGCUAAGUGGAAAACGAUGUGGAAAGGCAUAGACAGCCAGGAGGUUGGCUUAGAAGCAGCCACCCUUUAAAGAAAGCGUAAUAGCUCACUGGUCGAGUCGGUCUGCGCGGAAGAUUUAACGGGGCUAAGCAGUGAACCGAAGCUUGGGGUGCGUAAAACUUCGGUUUUAUGCGCGGUAGAGGAGCGUUCCGUAAGCCUGCGAAGGUGGAUUGAGAAGUCUGCUGGAGGUAUCGGAAGUGCGAAUGCUGACAUGAGUAACGAUAAUGCGGGUGAAAAGCCCGCACGCCGAAAGCCCAAGGUUUCCUUGCGCAACGUUAAUCGACGCAGGGUUAGUCGGUCCCUAAGGCGAGGGCGAAAGCCGUAGUCGAUGGGAAGCAGGUUAAUAUUCCUGCACCUCGCGUGAGUGCGAUGGAGGGACGGAGAAGGUUAGGUGUACCGGGCGUUGGUUGUCCCGGGGAAAGGCGGUAGGUUUGGAUCUUUGGCAAAUCCGGGAUCCUUUAAGACCGAGCACCGAGACGAGCCUUUAUGGCGAAGUCACUGAUACCACGCUUCCAGGAAAAGCUCCUAAGCUUCAGCUCACGAAGACCGUACCGUAAACCGACACAGGUGGGUAGGAUGAGAAUUCUCAGGCGCUUGAGAGAACUCGGGUGAAGGAACUAGGCAACAUGGCACCGUAACUUCGGGAGAAGGUGCACCCUUUUUGGUGGCUCAUGCGAGCUAUAGCUGAAGAGGGUCGCAGAAACCAGGCCGCUGCGACUGUUUAUCAAAAACACAGCACUCUGCAAACACGAAAGUGGACGUAUAGGGUGUGACGCCUGCCCGGUGCUGGAAGGUUAAGUGAUGGGGUCAGCCGCAAGGCGAAGCUCUUGAUCGAAGCCCCAGUAAACGGCGGCCGUAACUAUAACGGUCCUAAGGUAGCGAAAUUCCUUGUCGGGUAAGUUCCGACCUGCACGAAUGGCGUAACGACAGCGGCGCUGUCUCCACCCGAGACUCAGUGAAAUUGAAAUCGCUGUGAAGAUGCAGCGUUCCCGUGGCAAGACGGAAAGACCCCGUGAACCUUUACUAUAGCUUUACACUGAACGUUGAGUUCGUCUGUGUAGGAUAGGUGGGAGGCUAUGAAACUGUGGCGCUAGCUGCAGUGGAGCCAACCUUGAAAUACCACCCUGUCGUGCUUGACGUUCUAACCUAGAUCCGUUAUCCGGAUCAGGGACCGUGUAUGGUGGGUAGUUUGACUGGGGCGGUCUCCUCCUAAAGAGUAACGGAGGAGCACGAAGGUACGCUCAGCGCGGUCGGACAUCGCGCACUGUGUGCAAAGGCAUAAGCGUGCUUGACUGCAAGAUCGACGGAUCAAGCAGGUACGAAAGUAGGUCUUAGUGAUCCGGUGGUUCUGUAUGGAAGGGCCAUCGCUCAACGGAUAAAAGGUACUCCGGGGAUAACAGGCUGAUACCGCCCAAGAGUUCAUAUCGACGGCGGUGUUUGGCACCUCGAUGUCGGCUCAUCACAUCCUGGGGCUGUAGUCGGUCCCAAGGGUAUGGCUGUUCGCCAUUUAAAGUGGUACGCGAGCUGGGUUCAGAACGUCGUGAGACAGUUCGGUCCCUAUCUGCCAUGGGCGUUGGAAGUUUGAGAGGGGCUGCUCCUAGUACGAGAGGACCGGAGUGGACGAACCUCUGGUGUUCCGGUUGUCACGCCAGUGGCAUUGCCGGGUAGCUAUGUUCGGAAGCGAUAACCGCUGAAAGCAUCUAAGCGGGAAGCGCGCCUCAAGAUGAGACUUCCCGGGGCACAAGCCCCCUAAAGGAACCAUAUAGACUAUGUGGUUGAUAGGUCAGGUGUGUAAGUACAGCAAUGUAUUGAGCUAACUGAUACUAAUGAUCCGUGCGGCUUGACCAU
rnacentral:rRNA from 1 species